CGGACGGGUGAGUAACACGUGGGCAACCUGCCUGUAAGACUGGGAUAUCAUCGGGAAACCGAUGCUAAUACCGGAUAAUUCCUUUCCUCUCAUGAGGAAAGGCUGAAAGAUGGCAUCUCGCUAUCACUUACAGAUGGGCCCGCGGCGCAUUAGCUAGUUGGUGAGGUAACGGCUCACCAAGGCAACGAUGCGUAGCCGACCUGAGAGGGUGAUCGGCCACACUGGGACUGAGACACGGCCCAGACUCCUACGGGAGGCAGCAGUAGGGAAUCUUCCGCAAUGGACGAAAGUCUGAUGGAGCAACGCCGCGUGAGUGAUGAAGGUUUUCGGAUCGUAAAACUCUGUUGUUAGGGAAGAACAAGUGCCGGAGUAACUGCCGGCGCCUUGACGG
rnacentral:rRNA from 1 species